AGAAUGACCUAGCUAGAGUGCUUGCUAUCUUAUCGUGCACCUCCAACAGUUGAAGCUGCCAGCAUGAUCUAAGCUAUCUUUGUAUACAGGAAAGGCUAUAGAUCAUGUGGUAGCUUCACCUGUUGAAUGAAGCACGAGAAAAACCCUAGAUUCACAGCGGUCGAUCU